AAUUGAACUCGCUGUGAAGAUGCAGUGUACCCGCGGCAAGACGGAAAGACCCCGUGAACCUUUACUAUAGCUUGACACUGAACAUUGAGCCUUGAUGUGUAGGAUAGGUGGGAGGCUUUGAAGCGUGGACGCCAGUCUGCGUGGAGCCGGCCUUGAAAUACCACCCUUUAAUGUUUGAUGUUCUAACGUGGACCCGUGAUCCGGGUUGCGGACAGUGUCUGGUGGGUAGUUUGACUGGGGCGGUCUCCUCCUAAAGAGUAACGGAGGAGCACGAAGGUUGGCUAAUCCUGGUCGGACAUCAGGAGGUUAGUGCAAUGGCAUAAGCCAGCUUGACUGCGAGCGUGACGGCGCGAGCAGGUGCGAAAGCAGGUCAUAGUGAUCCGGUGGUUCUGAAUGGAAGGGCCAUCGCUCAACGGAUAAAAGGUACUCCGGGGAUAACAGGCUGAUACCGCCCAAGAGUUCAUAUCGACGGCGGUGUUUGGCACCUCGAUGUCGGCUCAUCACAUCCUGGGGCUGAAGUAGGUCCCAAGGGUAUGGCUGUUCGCCAUUUAAAGUGGUACGCGAGCUGGGUUUAGAACGUCGUGAGACAGUUCGGUCCCUAUCUGCCGUGGGCGCUGGAGAACUGAGGGGGGCUGCUCCUAGUACGAGAGGACCGGAGUGGACGCAUCACUGGUGUUCGGGUUGUCAUGCCAAUGGCACUGCCCGGUAGCUAAAUGCGGAAGAGAUAAGUGCUGAAAGCAUCUAAGCACGAAACUUGCCCCGAGAUGAGUUCUCCCUGAGACUUAAAGUCUCCUGAAGGAACGUUGAAGACGACGACGUUGAUAGGCCGGGUGUGUAAGCGCAGCGAUGCGUUGAGCUAACCGGUACUAAUGAACCGUGAGGCUUAACCUUACAACGCCGAAG
rnacentral:rRNA from 1 species